GGACACGUGCCUGAAUUAUAGGAUUACCUUGAUAGGGUAAACAAUAGAGGUUCAAGCCCUCUCGUCUCCU
rnacentral:tRNA from 1 species